GCCCCACGGGGCCCACUGGCACCGCCCACCCGACUUUUCAUCCGAGGGUCGUGGGUUCGAGCCCCACGGGGCCCA
rnacentral:tRNA from 1 species